GGGGUGGGGUCUAUAAAGUCAACUUAAAUUACAAAAAUAAGAUUUGAUGUUCAAGGUAUUACAUUGCAAAAGUGAGAGUGAACUUCCAGUGCACUAUUUGAAUAGUUGACAAUUUGAUGGUCUUUUUGAGACUAAAUAUGUGUUAUCUUGUGGCCACAAACAUCAAAUGAGCAAUAAUUUAUAUUUGGUUACAUGAGAAAU
rnacentral:lncRNA from 1 species